rnacentral:rRNA from 1 species
GACGAACGCUGGCGGCGCGCUUAACACAUGCAAGUCGAACGGAAAGGCCUGCUUUCCCUUGUGGAUUGCGGGUACUCGAGUGGCGAACGGGUGAGUAACACGUGAGUGAUCUGCCCCCAACUUGGGUAUAAGCCUGGGAAACUGGGUCUAAUUCCCGAUAGGACUGCAGGGUGGUGCCUGUGGUGGAAAACGAUUUUCUAGUGGUUGGGGAUGAGCUCGCGGCCUAUCAGCUUGUUGGUGGGGUAAUGGCCUACCAAGGCGGCGACGGGUAGCCGGCCUGAGAGGGUGGACGGCCACAUUGGGACUGAGAUACGGCCCAGACUCCUACGGGAGGCAGCAGUGGGGAAUAUUGCCCAAUGGGCGGAAGCCUGAUGCAGCGACGCCGCGUGGGGGAUGACGGCCUUCGGGUUGUAAACUCCUUUCGACCGCGAGGAAGCCACCUGGUUGGAAGGGUGGUGACGGUAGUGGUAGAAGAAGCACCGGCUAACUACGUG